GCGGCGUGCCUAAUACAUGCAAGUCGAACGAGUUCUCGUUGAUGAUCGGUGCUUGCACCGAGAUUCAACAUGGAACGAGUGGCGGACGGGUGAGUAACACGUGGGUAACCUGCCCUUAAGUGGGGGAUAACAUUUGGAAACAGAUGCUAAUACCGCAUAGAUCCAAGAACCGCAUGGUUCUUGGCUGAAAGAUGGCGUAAGCUAUCGCUUUUGGAUGGACCCGCGGCGUAUUAGCUAGUUGGUGAGGUAAUGGCUCACCAAGGCGAUGAUACGUAGCCGAACUGAGAGGUUGAUCGGCCACAUUGGGACUGAGACACGGCCCAAACUCCUACGGGAGGCAGCAGUAGGGAAUCUUCCACAAUGGACGCAAGUCUGAUGGAGCAACGCCGCGUGAGUGAAGAAGGCUUUCGGGUCGUAAAACUCUGUUGUUGGAGAAGAAUGGUCGGCAGAGUAACUGUUGUCGGCGUGACGGUAUCCAACCAGAAAGCCACGGCUAACUACGUGCCAGCAGCCGCGGUAAUACGUAGGUGGCAAGCGUUAUCCGGAUUUAUUGGGCGUAAAGCGAGCGCAGGCGGUUUUUUAAGUCUGAUGUGAAAGCCCUCGGCUUAACCGAGGAAGCGCAUCGGAAACUGGGAAACUUGAGUGCAGAAGAGGACAGUGGAACUCCAUGUGUAGCGGUGAAAUGCGUAGAUAUAUGGAAGAACACCAGUGGCGAAGGCGGCUGUCUGGUCUGUAACUGACGCUGAGGCUCGAAAGCAUGGGUAGCGAACAGGAUUAGAUACCCUGGUAGUCCAUGCCGUAAACGAUGAAUGCUAGGUGUUGGAGGGUUUCCGCCCUUCAGUGCCGCAGCUAACGCAUUAAGCAUUCCGCCUGGGGAGUACGACCGCAAGGUUGAAACUCAAAGGAAUUGACGGGGGCCCGCACAAGCGGUGGAGCAUGUGGUUUAAUUCGAAGCAACGCGAAGAACCUUACCAGGUCUUGACAUCUUUUGAUCACCUGAGAGAUCAGGUUUCCCCUUCGGGGGCAAAAUGACAGGUGGUGCAUGGUUGUCGUCAGCUCGUGUCGUGAGAUGUUGGGUUAAGUCCCGCAACGAGCGCAACCCUUAUGACUAGUUGCCAGCAUUUAGUUGGGCACUCUAGUAAGACUGCCGGUGACAAACCGGAGGAAGGUGGGGAUGACGUCAAAUCAUCAUGCCCCUUAUGACCUGGGCUACACACGUGCUACAAUGGAUGGUACAACGAGUUGCGAGACCGCGAGGUCAAGCUAAUCUCUUAAAGCCAUUCUCAGUUCGGACUGUAGGCUGCAACUCGCCUACACGAAGUCGGAAUCGCUAGUAAUCGCGGAUCAGCACGCCGCGGUGAAUACGUUCCCGGGCCUUGUACACACCGCCCGUCACACCAUGAGAGUUUGUAACACCCGAAGCCGGUGGCGUAACCCUUUUAGGGAGCGAGCCGU
rnacentral:rRNA from 2 species